rnacentral:lncRNA from 1 species
GCACACGGUAACCUGCAGGACAUGAAGUAAGACGCCCGAGGGCCAAUGGCGCGCCUCCUGCUAGAGCUUUGAAUGUAGACAGACCCGACUGGUGGGUGGCGCGGCCACCUGUAUGCUUCUUGCACAGUGCGAGGGGUGGGGGGACUUGGAGACAGAAGCUGGAAAAUGGGCUGCCCCAGCAGCAAACUGUGCCUCUAUUCUCCAUGUGCAGCAACAAGGCGGGAGGAAGCACUGAAACAACACAAAACCCUAUCUCAAGAACUUGUUAACCUCCGGGGAGAGCUAGCUUGACCUUCAGUUCACAGAAUUCCUGGCACUGAUCUGACUAAGCCUAGCAGAACUUCUGAUGAGCAAAAUAUUUCUCUUGCUGAAGAGAGGGACAGAGUUAUUUUUGUAAUUGUGUGAAUUCCUGUUAAAUAAUGUUGUCAUUUUUUUUUCUGAAGCACUUUUCAUAUGAGAAUAGUGAAAGUUUCCCCUCUUGAUAAACAGUAAAUCCGUUGUACUUCCAAGGGUUGGUUUGUGAGUAGUGAGUAUGAAGUUGAAAGGAUGCUGUCCAUGAAGGCAACU